rnacentral:rRNA from 1 species
CGAACCGUGCGAACGUUAUUCGGAAUCACUGGGCUUAAAGGGUGCGUAGGCGGGCUGUCAAGUCUGGGGUGAAAUCCCGCGGCUCAACCGUGGAACUGCCUUAGAUACUGAUGGCCUCGAGGAAGGUAGGGGCAUGCGGAACUGUAGGUGGAGCGGUGAAAUGCGUUGAUAUCUACAGGAACUCCGGUGGCGAAAGCGGCGUGCUGGACCUUUUCUGACGCUGAGGCACGAAAGCUAGGGGAGCAAACGGGAGUUAGAUACCCUAGUAC